rnacentral:lncRNA from 1 species
AUGUACUGCUUUAAACUUAAAGACCUUUUUGGACCCGAAAUUGUAAAGUUAACCACCUGGGACGGUAAACUACCGAUGUCUGCUUCUGCUUCCAAAGGAGAACCGCAGUGAAAGUGGUGGACAUGUCCUACCAUCUGUAAGCUCAAGAUCCUCUAGAGAACUGCAGGAUUCAGGGUGCUCUACUGACAGUACCUAGGGCAGCCGGAUCAGGAAAGAGUUUCUCCAGCCACAGUUGUCUCUUGCAGUCAGCUACAGAAGACCCAGUGCUGUGAGAAAAUCAGACAGAAGUAUUUCCAAGACUUUCCAUGUCUGACUAACCAAGGUAAAAUCAGGAACUAACCUAACAGCUUCUGCACCAUGGCAGAAGAGUUCACAGAAAUGUACCUGUUUUACUUUUUAAUAGAUUAUAUUUUAACACUU